AGCGAACGCUGGCGGCAGGCCUAACACAUGCAAGUCGAACGGAUCCUUCGGGAUUAGUGGCGGACGGGUGAGUAACACGUGGGAACGUGCCCUUUGGUUCGGAACAACUCGGGGAAACUUGAGCUAAUACCGGAUGUGCCCUUCGGGGGAAAGAUUUAUCGCCAUUGGAGCGGCCCGCGUCUGAUUAGCUAGUUGGUGAGGUAACGGCCCACCAAGGCGACGAUCAGUAGCUGGUCUGAGAGGAUGAUCAGCCACACUGGGACUGAGACACGGCCCAGACUCCUACGGGAGGCAGCAGUGGGGAAUCUUGCGCAAUGGGCGAAAGCCUGACGCAGCCAUGCCGCGUGAAUGAUGAAGGUCUUAGGAUUGUAAAAUUCUCUCAGCGGGGACGAUAAUGACGGUACCCGCAGAAGAAGCUCCGGCUAACUUCGUG
rnacentral:rRNA from 1 species